UACGAAGGGGGCGAGCGUUGUUCGGAAUCACUGGGCGUAAAGGGCGCGUAGGCGGCUCAUGAAGGCUGUGGUGAAAGUCCGGGGCUCAACCUCGGAUCGGCCGUGGCGACUCGUGGGCUGGAGCACUGUAGGGGCGGGUGGAAUUCCGGGUGUAGCGGUGGAAUGCGUAGAGAUCCGGAAGAACACCAGUGGCGAAGGCGGCCCGCUGGGCAGUGGCUGACGCUGAGGCGCGACAGCGUGGGGAGCAAACAGG
rnacentral:rRNA from 1 species